rnacentral:rRNA from 1 species
CCUACGGGCGGCAGCAGUGGGGGAUAUUGCACAAUGGGGGAAACCCUGAUCCAGCGACGCCGCGUGGGCGAAGAAGUAUUUCGGUAUGUAAAGCCCUUUCAGCAGGGAAGAAGAAAUGACGGUACCUGAGUAAGAAGCACCGGCUAAAUACGUGCCAGCAGCCGCGGUAAUACGUAGGGUGCAAGCGUUAUCCGGAUUUACGGGUUGUACAGGGAGGGCAGGCGGCACGGCAAGCCUGAUGGGAAAGCCCGCGGCCCAACCGGGGGACUGCAUUGGGAACUGCCGGGCUGGAGUGCCGGAGAGGUAGGCGGAAUGCGUGGUGUAGCGGUGAAAUGCGUAGAUAUUAGGAAGAACACCAGUGGCGAAGGCGGCCUACGGGACGGUGACUGACGCUGAGGCUCGAAAGCGUGGGGAGCAAACAGGAUUAGAUACCCCGGUAGUC